ACAUACAUUUAUAGUAAAAGAAACGUAUUGUUUUUUAUGUGUUGUUAAAUAUAUUAUGUUUUUAAUAAUAUGUUUUUUACAACAUAUAUAUUUACAAAGAUAAAAAAAUAGCGAAAGUAUACAUAUAUAUAUAUAUAUAUAUAUACGCAAAACCAGCAAUUCUCGCAUUUUUGUUUUUUUUUUUUGUCUAAUAAUAACAAUUUAAGGAUAUUUUUAAGUAUUUUAUAAGUUUGUGUGCAUAUAUAUAUAUGCAAAUCCCAAUAUAAGCAACUUACAUGUAAGCAUUUAUCUUUAAGUAUUAAAAAUUGCUAUAAUUUUUUUUUUUUUUUUUCUUUUGCUUUUUUUUUUUUUACCUACAAAAUGGAUCAAGGUGUACAAAAACUAUUAAACCAAAUAAGUGAGUUGGAGUCUAAAAACCGCUUAAUACAUAUCGAAAUUGAAGAGCUAAAAACAACAGAAAAGGAGUUACAAAAAAAUGAAAAAGAUCUCAUAACAGAGAUCGAGAAUGUUUGUAAGCAGAUAAAAUGUAUGGAAAAGGAAGAAAUCGAAUUGAAUAAUGACAUAUCAUGUGUUAACUUAAUGUGCAAAAAUGUUGAGGCAACAUUACACAAUGAGUUCGUAAAAGUUGAACUAGCAGCUCAAAAAAUGAAUCAAGUAGAGUAUAAUGAAGAAGAAAAAAAAAACAUAAACUCAGAUUUAAUUAAAUGUGAUAAUGAAAUAAAGCAAUGUUUAAAUAACAUGAAUACCAAUAAUGAUAACAUUUCAGAAUUAAAAGAAAUAAAAGAUAAGCAUUUUCUUUUAAAACACAUUUCUAUAGACGAUUUGUAUGAAAUUUAUGAGGAAACAAAAGAAAAGUAUCAAGAAAACACAUUCAAAAACCAAUGCCAACAAAUUUCUAUUGUUAAUUAUAAAACACAUUCUUAUUUUUGUAAUCCGACACACCUACUACAUAUGGUGUAUCUCCUUAUAGAAAAAAUAAAAGACAAUAAUGAUGACCCUUACUUUAAUUUUACAAACAUUGCACAUUUUUACGGAUUGAAUGAAGAAGAAAAGAGUCAACUGAUUGAAAAUUUUGGUUUAUCUGAACUGAAUAAAAUAAUGAUAAAUCAUUAUAAAUCUAAAAAAAUUCAUGUUAAUAGUACCAUAUAACAUUUUAAAAUUUAGUUGUAUUUUUAUUAAAAAUUAUAUAUUUCUUUUUAUACAUCAUUCACCCAUUAUUGGGUCAUCAUUUUUUUUUUUUUUUUUUUUUUUUUUUUUUUUUUUUUUUUUNNNNNNNNNNNNNNNNNNNNNNNNNNNNNNNNNNNNNNNNNNNNNNNNNNNNNNNNNNNNNNNNNNNNNNNNNNNNNNNNNNNNNNNNNNNNNNNNNNNNUUUUUUUUUUUUUUUUUUUUUUUUUUUUUUUUUUUUUUUUGUGUCUAUUUGUUUAUGUGUCUGUUUUUUUUGUUCAUUUUUUUAUUUUAUUAUUAUCAUUGUAAAGAUUUUUAUUUAUUUAUUUAUUUAUUUAUUUAUUUUUUUUUUUUAAUAUUUUAGUUCUACUGAGAGCUUAAAAAAAAAAAAAAAAAAAAAUGAAUUUAUAAAAUUAUGUUAAAUUUUAUUUUUACUGAUGUUAAAAUUAAAAAAAAAAAAACAUAUUGUUUUUUGGUUAUAUAUUCAGUGUCACAAUUUUUUUUUUUUUAAUAAGUUUUGUAUACAGAGAAGUUCAUCCCAUUUGUCUUAUUAACAUUCAUUGAGAAACAAAAUAACGUUUUUUAAAAAUAGAAAAUAUGUAGUUAUUCUGCCUUUCUUUUAUUUUACUAUUUUUCUUUUUGUUGUUUCGAUGUACAUUAUUUUUACUUAAAAAAUAUAAUGCUUUAAAACUAAGCACAAUAUAGAUAAUGUGUUUAUUGUAUAUUGUCCUGCCUUUGUGGACUCAUCAGUCUACUAAUAUAUACACACACAUACAUAUAUAUGUAUAUAUUGUAUAUGUUUGUGACAUUGUUGUAUGAUAGCGGAUAUUGUUAAUGUUAAAAAAUAUAUACGAUAUUUAUAUAUAAGACAAAAUUUGUUGUUUAAAAAAAAAAAAAAAAAUAAUAAAAAAAAAAAAAAAACACA
rnacentral:lncRNA from 1 species